CCCACGUACCCACGGCCCUUUCUCUCCCACGCACCCACGGCUGCCAACCCUAGCCCUCUCCCUCCGCCGCCGCCCAACCCUAGCCCAACCCAAUCCGCCGCUGUCCUCUUCUCCAGUCGCAUCGGCGACCUCCAACCUCAUCGUCGGCAGCCCCUCCCCUCUCCUCCUAGAUCCACAUGGGCUACUCAUGUCGUGGCCAUCCUCUCUCUCUCCCCCACGCAGCGAACCCUAGCGCUCCCCGAUCCAGAUCCCUCCCCUCCCCUCGCCGCCAUCUACCGCCGCUCGCCGCCGGCCUUGACCCCCUCCCUCCCCUGUAGCCCCCACCCCGGCCUCUCUCUCCCGUACUACACGCCGCCGCCACACAUGGCACCGCGCAGCAAGGGGCUCGCAUCACUCCGACCAGAUCCGAUUAGCGCCUCCUUGGCCUCAGAUCAGGCCUGCACGACCCGGUGCCACCACCGCCACCACCGGGAGGCAUGGAUUCAUGCGUGCUCCGGUUGCGGGUUCGUGUCCUCAAGGUGCACAAGAGACCUCGUCUCCACUCCAAGGCCAUUUGUGCUGGCGUAGAUUGGCGUGCUCACACGCGUUGGCUGGACGGCGGCGACACUGACCUCCUCCGCCGGGUCUCCCAAGAGGCCGUGCAUCCUGCCGCGACCACCUCUACUGCGCGACGGUGGUGGCCGACCUGCAAUGCGACCGCUGCAUCGCCAGUAACCUCUUCGCAAUGGCAACACAAGCAGGAACCUCGGCUACUCCUCGUUUAAGUCCCCAAGUGGCACGCCCCGAUGCUCCCCUCGCUCUGGGCACCCAAUGCCAGGCAGGCUGUGGAUGCCCCGAACCUCAAGGCCGGCCAUGCUACUCCAGCUGCUCCUGCCCCGGCCAUGCUCAACUUCGCUCCUGGUCAGUUGCCGCAGGUGAGACACUUGCCUCCAUGCUUGGGUGAUUCUACCUGCUCACUUAGUAUCAUACUUGAAUAUAUGCACGAAUUUCACAAGUUUGGAUGCAUCAUAGAACUUGUGGUGAACCUGAUACAGUGAUGUUCAUCGACGACCUGCACUUGUACCAAUGUAUCAUGCUGCUAUUUGGCAAUUCAGUUUCACAUUGCAUGUGGAUCUUAAACUUAUACAGAUCAAGAUCUAAUGUUGUUUAGGCUGCUUCUACUGUGACGGAAGACCAGAAGAGGCAUUGAGAUGCGCACCACAGUUUUAGUUGAUGUUGCACCAUGUUUUGGUGCUUGUGUAUCUGUUUUUGCUUGUAAGCACACUUGUAUGUGCUUGUGUAUCGUGCUUGUGUAUCUGUUUUUGCUUGUUUAAGUUGAUGUUGGAUGUGCAGACUUGUAUGUGCUGUUGUGUGUAUUUGGCUAAAUGAUUCUGAAUUUAAUCGUUUAAUCAAGAGAA